AGAGUUUGAUCAUGGCUCACGNUGAACGCUGGCGGUCUGCUUAACACAUGCAAGUCGAACGAAUCUCUUCGGAGAAGAGUGGCGGACGGGUGAGUAACGCGUGAGAAUCUGCCUCCAGAACGGGGACAACAGUUGGAAACGACUGCUAAUACCCGAUGAACCGAAAGGGAAAAGAUUUAUCGUCUGGAGAGGAGCUCGCGUCCGAUUAGCUAGUUGGUGUGGUAAAGGCGCACCAAGGCGGCGAUCGGUAGCUGGUUUGAGAGGACAAUCAGCCACACUGGGACUGAGACACGGCCCAGACUCCUACGGGAGGCAGCAGUGGGGAAUUUUCCGCAAUGGGCGAAAGCCUGACGGAGCAAUACCGCGUGCGGGAGGAAGGCCUUUGGGUCGUAAACCGCUUUUCUCAGGGAAGAAGACCUGACGGUACCUGAGGAAAAAGCCUCGGCUAACUCCGUGCCAGCAGCCGCGGUAAUACGGAGGAGGCAAGCGUUAUCCGGAAUUAUUGGGCGUAAAGCGUCCGCAGGUGGUCUUGUAAGUCUGCUGUCAAAGACGGAAGCUCAACUUCCGAAAGGCGGUGGAAACUGCAAAACUAGAGUACAGUAGGGGUAGAGGGAAUUCCCAGUGUAGCGGUGAAAUGCGUAGAGAUUGGGAAGAACACCGGUGGCGAAAGCGCUCUGCUGGGCUGUAACUGACACUGAGGGACGAAAGCUAGGGGAGCGAAUGGGAUUAGAUACCCCAGUAGUCCUAGCCGUAAACGAUGGAAACUAGGCGUGGCUUGUAUCGACCCGAGCCGUGCCGAAGCUAACGCGUUAAGUUUCCCGCCUGGGGAGUACGCACGCAAGUGUGAAACUCAAAGGAAUUGACGGGGGCCCGCACAAGCGGUGGAGUAUGUGGUUUAAUUCGAUGCAACGCGAAGAACCUUACCAGGGCUUGACAUCUGGCGAAUCUCUUUGAAAGGAGAGAGUGCCUUCGGGAACGCCAAGACAGGUGGUGCAUGGCUGUCGUCAGCUCGUGUCGUGAGAUGUUGGGUUAAGUCCCGCAACGAGCGCAACCCU
rnacentral:rRNA from 1 species